rnacentral:rRNA from 1 species
AGAGUUUGAUCCUGGCUCAGAACGAACGCUGGCGGCAGGCUUAACACAUGCAAGUCGAACGCCCUCUUCGGAGGGAGUGGCAGACGGGUGAGUAACGCGUGGGAACCUACCUUUUGGUUCGGAAUAACCCAGGGAAACUUGGGCUAAUACCGGAUGUGUCCUUCGGGAGAAAGAUUUAUCGCCAAAAGAUGGGCCCGCGUCGGAUUAGCUAGUUGGUGGGGUAACGGCCUACCAAGGCGACGAUCCGUAGCUGGUCUGAGAGGAUGAUCAGCCACACUGGGACUGAGACACGGCCCAGACUCCUACGGGAGGCAGCAGUGGGGAAUAUUGGACAAUGGGCGCAAGCCUGAUCCAGCCACGCCGCGUGAGUGAUGAAGGCCUUAGGGUUGUAAAGCUCUUUCGCCGGUGAAUAUAAUGACGGUAACCGGAGAAGAAGCCCCGGCUAACUUCGUGCCAGCAGCCGCGGUAAUACGAAGGGGGCUAGCGUUGUUCGGAAUUACUGGGCGUAAAGCGCACGUAGGCGGAUAUUUAAGUCGGGGGUGAAAUCCCAGGGCUCAACCCUGGAACUGCCUCCGAUACUGGGUAUCUCGAGUCCGAGAGAGGUGAGUGGAAUUCCUAGUGUACAGGUGAAAUUCGUAGACAUUCGGAAGAACACCAGUGGCGA